AUGGCGCACCACCUCUUGCCGCCGCUGCUACCGUUCCCCUGCCAGGGCACCUUGAGCUCCUCUGUUCCUGUACCUGAGGCCCCGAGCUCCUCCAGCUCGACCUGCUACCGGCGCUCGCCGUCCUCCACGAGCAGCCAAGCCCCGCCAUGGCCGCGCCCCCUGCUGUUGAGGCCCAUGGACGCCGUUGCCCGCUGCUGCCCUCCUCCUUCUCCUGUGCGUUGCCGCUGUCCAAGACCACCAGGCCACCGCAACGCCAUUUUUGCCUCCUCGUCAGCGCCCUGCUUCGCUGGAGCCCAGCGCCAUCACCUCCCCUGCCGGUUGCAUGGACGCCAAGAUACCCUUUGUUUUGCCAAGACGCGACAACCAGGAACGCCCAAGGAUGCCUCCGUGGAAUCCACCAAGUUCCGCUACCGAUGA
rnacentral:rRNA from 1 species